AAAUCUUCAACCUCUAGCUUUUGUGGUAUAUACACGAAGCUUGUAAGGAUUGGAUUAUGGGAGCCUUAUGCUGGUCCUUUUGGUCUGGCUCUCCUGAAAAAUAUUAGCAAGAUCAUUGGCAUUGGUCUGGUAUGAUAACUAAUAAUUGUAUAUACCAUUGGGGCCAAGGUCAUGAAAGAUUUUUGCUUCUAAUUCUCUCAUUAGAAGAGCUUUAUGAAAU
rnacentral:misc_RNA from 1 species